rnacentral:misc_RNA from 1 species
GAUGAGAACGCAGCGAAAUGCGAUAAGUAGUGUGAAUUGCAGAAUUCAGUGAAUCAUCGAAUCUUUGAACGCACAUUGCGCCCCUUGGUAUUCCAUGGGGCAUGCCUGUUCGAGCGUCAUUUGUACCUUCAAGCUUUGCUUGGUGUUGGGUGUUUGUCCAUUCUCUUGCAGAGGGACUCGCCUUAAAGUAAUUGGCAGCCAGUGUUUUGGUUUUGAAGCGCAGCACAAGUCGCGAUUCAAAGCUAUACGCCCGCUUCCACAAGCCUUUUUCACUUUUGACCUCGGAUCAGGUAGGGAUACCCGCUGAACUUAAGCAUAUCAAUAAGCGGAGGA